UCUCUUUGAAUCUGCGAACGGCUCCGCAAACCAGUUGUAAACUAUAGUAAGCAUGCCUCGGGAGCGUGCCGCAAGGCACGUCCCGAGGUCGAAUAAGGAUAACCCUGGUAAUUCUGAGGCUAAUACGAGACUGUACCCCCCUAACUUACAGGAAUGGAAAGUUGGGGAGCGUGCGAGUUCAAUGCAAAGAAUGCUGGGAAUAGGCGCACGUUCAGACCACCAUAUCAAACAGCGGCUUGUAGCCUUAGGGCGAAGGCUUCCUGGGUGGCUCUUACUGUGUGCUUCUGACCUAUCAACUAGACGGCAGCGUAACGGACAUGCCAUGGUGACAACGGGUACAGAGGAUAAGGGUUCGAUCCUGGAGAGUGGGCCUGAGAGAUU
rnacentral:rRNA from 1 species